AGGGUCAGCUCAGUGCGGCGAGGAGCAGGAGGCAGGGCGGGUGUCACCAGGACUCUCUCUCCCUCGAACCUGUUUAUUCAAACCUGAAGAUAAGUCAGAACAAAAAAAGACACUUCAUUUCAGCUCCCUUCUGCUACAGGACAAAUUCACAAGAUCAGGAAGAGGCACCUACGCCUAGUGAGAGUGUUUGCAAAACCACUUAGCACUACAAACAAGAGGGCACCAAAGGCAGGGCUCCUGUGCUCCUGUUUGCAGAGGUGUGGGCCAGAUUGUGCCCCCUUGCUACAUCCCCGAUGAGCAGGCAGAGCCUUCAGCUGCAGAAGGCAAACCUGUCCUUCCUUUAGAGUCCAUUCCUCCCUCCUCUGUGGGAGUUCAUCCCUUCGACUGCCAGGGUGAAAAGGAUUGUAAAUGGAAAAAUCUGCUGAACCCUGUGCUCAAUCCAAAAUUGUCUAUGUCCAUGGGAAACAUUUUGUUGAUGACUCUGGACUUCCUGUCAGACUUUCACUGUGUCUGAAGUGACAAGUCUCACCUGUUCACCAUUACCGCUUUGAUAUCAUUCCAGUUUUGUAUGACUGAAGAUUAUCCUGAUACAAUAAGCAAGUCUUUCUAUAAAGAGGCUAACCCUUGCCCUCCUUGACAAAGCAAACAUUCUUAAAAAGGCAGUGGUAUCAUUGU